AUUGAACGCUGGCGGCAGGCCUAACACAUGCAAGUCGAACGAGUGGCGGACGGGUGAGUAAUGUCUGGGAAACUGCCUGAUGGAGGGGGAUAACUACUGGAAACGGUAGCUAAUACCGCAUACCAUCAGAUGUUCCCAGGUGGGAUUAGCUUGCUGGUGGGGUAACGGCUCACCAGGGCGACGAUCCCUAGCCGGUCUGAGAGGAUGACCAGCCACACGGGAAGUGAGACACGGUCCAGGCUCCAACGAGAGACAGCAGUGGGGAAUAUUGCACAAUGGGCGCAAGACUGAUGCGGCCAUGCCGCGUGUAUGAAGAAGGCCGUCGGGUUGUAAAGUACUUUCAGCGGGGAGGCGUUACCCGCAGAAGAAGCACCGGCUAACUCCGUGCCAGCAGCCGCGGUAAUAC
rnacentral:rRNA from 1 species